GAUGAACGCUGGCGGCGUGCCUAAUACAUGCAAGUCGAGCGAACGGACGAGAAGCUUGCUUUUCUGAUGUUAGCGGCGGACGGGUGAGUAACACGUGGAUAACCUACCUAUAAGACUGGGAUAACUUCGGGAAACCGGAGCUAAUACCGGAUAAUAUUUUGAACCGCAUGGUUCAAAAGUGAAAGACGGUCUUGCUGUCACUUAUAGAUGGAUCCGCGCUGCAUUAGCUAGUUGGUAAGGUAACGGCUUACCAAGGCAACGAUGCAUAGCCGACCUGAGAGGGUGAUCGGCCACACUGGAACUGAGACACGGUCCAGACUCCUACGGGAGGCAGCAGUAGGGAAUCUUCCGCAAUGGGCGAAAGCCUGACGGAGCAACGCCGCGUGAGUGAUGAAGGUCUUCGGAUCGUAAAACUCUGUUAUUAGGGAAGAACAUAUGUGUAAGUAACUGUGAACAUCUUGACGGUACCUAACCAGAAAGCCACGGCUAACUACGUG
rnacentral:rRNA from 1 species